AUUGAACGCUGGCGGCAUGCCUUACACAUGCAAGUCGAACGGCAGCACGGGUGCUUGCACCUGGUGGCGAGUGGCGAACGGGUGAGUAAUACAUCGGAACAUGUCCUGUAGUGGGGGAUAGCCCGGCGAAAGCCGGAUUAAUACCGCAUACGAUCUACGGGUGAAAGCGGGGGACCUUCGGGCCUCGCGCUAUAGGGUUGGCCGAUGGCUGAUUAGCUAGUUGGUGGGGUAAAGGCCUACCAAGGCGACGAUCAGUAGCUGGUCUGAGAGGACGACCAGCCACACUGGGACUGAGACACGGCCCAGACUCCUACGGGAGGCAGCAGUGGGGAAUUUUGGACAAUGGGCGAAAGCCUGAUUCAGCAAUGCCGCGUGUGUGAAGAAGGCCUUCGGGUUGUAAAGCACUUUUGUCCGGAAAGAAAUCCUUGGCUCUAAUACAGUCGGGGGAUGACGGUACCGGAAGAAUAAGCACCGGCUAACUACGUG
rnacentral:rRNA from 1 species